ensembl:lncRNA
GGCAAAGAAGAAUUGAAUGAAAGAUGAUGCAUGCCACUUAAAAUGCCUGAGGGAGCAAGCGUAAUCUAAAUUGGAUAUAGAAGCUAUUAUUACACAACAUUAUGCGUUGUGGCGGACUAAUUGCGUGGCUGGGUGCGUUAAACAGUCAGUUAAUGUCGAGUGGCAGACAGGUUUCUGGAGCGCACAAGGUCAGCUGUACUGCUCCCAAGCCUUUAGUGGUAUACAGAAAAAUGCUUGAAGUAUUCAUGGGAUUUUUAACCAUUCUAAAUCUGUGUCCUAAACCGAUUAGUUGACACCAAUUUUUCUUUGAUGUAUUAGCUGAGGGCUUUUGCCACUUGGAAGCCAAUUGAAAUUCAAAACAGUUUUCGCUCCAAAUGCUGUGGGGAGAUCUGCUGCAAAUAAUGGAUGUAAUUUAUUUUUGACCUUGCUUUUUUCUUUUUUCUUUUUUUUUUUUUUCAAAAGGGAGGGUUGUUAAAUGAUUAAACAUAUGUGCACUAGCUCUCGACUAAACAACUAGCAUUUGAUUGGCUAUUAUUAGUUUUGCAUUAUAGAGCUGUAAAUUUCCAUAUUUCUUAAAGUGUUAUAUAAGUGAUAAACAUGACUAAAAUUGUUAUUGCUUUUUUUAAUGCCCAAUUCACUCUUAAAAAGUUGCUGUUCUUGGUGUUAUUUUUCCUAAAUGAAUUAAAAAAAUAAUAAUUGACUCUUUGUUUUUGUUUUUGAAUCCCAGAUCCAUGUUGAUGAAGUCACCAAGCAAUGUAUGGAGUGAGAGUGUGUGUGUGUCUUCGGUUUCCUCCUGAUGGGGUAUAUCAGCUCCCCCCACUUCUCCCUACUCCCCACGAUCCCCGCAAGGCUGAAUGGCAGGCCUCUGGAUUGGCUAAGUGAUGAAAUGAUGACCCUAUUAUGGGAAGCGAUUCCAAAAUGAGAGAUAUCAGACGAAGAUUACACCCCUCUCUCACUGCCACGCCAUCCUCCUGCAAUACACUGCCAGCUGCGCAGAUGAUGAUUGAUUCGCUUGAGAUGGAUCACAGGAAGCACCCAUUGAUUUUUCUGUGUUUUAUCAAAAAUAUUUAUUUACAGUUGUAUCCAUAGGGUGUAUCCAGACUCAACCCAUACUUCGUUCUCCAAAUGGGGGUUGGUAUAAAAGAGAUAAUUCCCCCUGUUCCAUGACAAGACGAAUGACCUGAAGUAUUACUUCAGAAAUGAGUCAAUAGGCUCAGUGAGUAAAUGAAUAUUGAUUGGAUAUAAUGAAGCCUGAGUGUGAAUAUGAGCCCUGUUGCAGACUUCACUGCAGUGAUGCUGAACCUCUCCAACUGAAUAUUUUGCAGACCUGCAUGCACAGCUGGGACUAAAUACACCUCAUUCAGAUGAAUGAGAGAUUCUCCUCCACGACAUCACCUCUCCUCAUCUCCUUCCCAGCCACUUUGGCAAGUUGUGUUCUACCUCCUACUCACAGCACCAGCGGGGAGUGAGAACUGGGACUAAGAGGUUGAUUUGGGGCCUGCUACACUGUAAUCAAAUGAGACUGCUUAGGGGAGAGGAGAAGGAGGAGGUGGAGUAUUAUGUUCUGUCAUGCAUUCCACUGCAGCAUUGUUGCUUUUUUGUUUUUGUCAGGGCAGGCUUUGAUGCUGUAUCCUCUUACCUUUGUAGUCCCGGUAGCCAUGUUUCAUAAACACGGAAUGGGAAACAUCCUCAGCAUUAGAAAUUUAGAUUGCUGCUUUCCUCCUGCCACUCUGCAUUCCGCACGUGCCCGGUCGCAUUCUCCAUCUCCCAAUGCUGAGGUAUUAAGUUUCCUCUCCCAUGCCUCUGAUACAUUUAAACAUCUUACAAUCAGUCCCUUUUAUUCGGUGUGUCAUGUAUAAUCUGCGGAAACAACAAUGCCAACAUGGCUCUAUGUUGCUCUCGCUCUCUUGGUACUUAAGAAGUCUGCUGUCACUGUUUUGUUUCAGGACAAUUGCACUUGCAAAAUGCUUACUUGCUUUAAAUUGAGAAGUUGCUAGGUAUUCAAUUUAGAACUUGUCUUCAUUAUUAAGAAUGUAAUAUUAAUGUCAAGCUAUCUUUCUUUGUAUUUUCACAAAGGGAAUAGGCAGUGCAUGGUUGUCUUUGUAGUUAACCGAAAGUCUCAGUGGGAUAACAGUGUAUUAUAAUCCUUAAUCUAUCUUAACUCAUUAAAAUGCAGUGUUCAGUUCUGCUGGCCAAAUUUUAUUGUCUCGUUGCAUUUUUAGUGAUAUGAGAGAAAUUUCAUGUGUAAUUGAAUAUUUAAAUGUCAGACACUGACGAGAAUCAUUGCAAAGUCCUGAAAUUACUGCCACAUAUAGGUAUAUAAUAUACUUAAGAAAAAAAGUUAGAUAAGAUGCAAAUCUAUAUUUGUCAGCAGAAUCGUCCUCUGUAACACACUGUGCCUCAGUUCUCUCUUUUCUUCUACCUCUUCUUCUUCUUGGAAAGUAACCAUUUUGUCCGACAUCUGACACACUGCCCUGGGUUAUUGAGCCAGACGUGGAAAUCCAAAGCGGAGAUGCUCUCCUUAAUGCCUGACACCUGGUGCAGAUUUGGAAGGGAUUGCACUACAGGUACUGUCUUACCUCUUCACCAAUCCCAGAAAGUCCCUUAGGUAUUUCCUUUUCUUUCCACGGCUGUGUUUGUUUCUACUCUUCUUUGCCACCCAGGUAUCAAGCCUCUGUUAGCUGGCCCCUGUGUUGGGAUUAAGUUCAGAAGGUGUUGAAAAAGGAUACCUAUCAUCCCUUUGAUAAAUAUGAUUCUGAUUUGUUCAGGUAUUUUUAAGGCCUCAAAAAAUAUAAGUAGGAUUAAAAACCUUUCUAAGUAUACGUUACAUCUUCAGUGGGAUAAAAUGAAAGAAAGAUUUCCUGUCCAGGAGCCAGAGCUUUUUUUUUCUACUUUAAAAAUAAAGUAAAUGAUAGCAAUUGAAGAAAGGGUGCAAUGCUGUCACUGAUAAGUUAAAUCUGACAGUUCUUUCAUUUGACAAAAAAUGAGUUCAGUUUUCUGGAAUGAUUACUGAAACAUGUCUGAUGUUAAUAUUAUUAAACUGCUAAUUCCACUUCUGAUCCUGUUAUUUGUUCUUCUCUUGCCACACCCUCUGUCAGGGUAUGCUUUACAAGUGGACGCUACUCUGGAGUGUUGCAGCUCACCUUACCGCUUGCAGUCACAUCUGCAGACUGUGCUGGAGCAGAAUGGCUAGCGAACAUAAACACAGCAAGGACAUCAAAGGCCGGCAGGCUGCGUCCAGUUCUGUCACUGGUCCUUAGUGCUCCAGCAGCCUGGUCAAAAAGACAUCCUGGCAGGGUCCCAGGGUGGAUGCAUCGCCCACGCACGCUGCUCUUGCCAGAUCCCAGAAGUCUUUGUGGUGAACCACUGACCGUGCUGCUCCCUAUUUUCUUCCAACCCAGCAAAUAAUGUGUCAGAAAAAGAUUAUUGAUAGCCCAUAAAAGAAGAGGCAGAAUGUUGUUGCCACUCUGCUCCAACUUUAAGGAACAAUACAAGUGCUAAACCAUCAGUUUCAAUGGUGCACUGCUCCUGAAAGAGCACAGCAUUUAUUUUUCACAUUGUUGUUCAGUUUGAAUAAAAGGUGCUACAACUGGAACAUGAACAGACAACAAUUACUUCUAUUUUUUUUAAAUGCUGCUUCAUUUUCCUUUACAUUUGAAACCUUGUAGUGAAGUUGGCAACUUUGUACUGUGUCUAUUCAAAAGAAAAAUGAGAUCCCUCAAAAGAAACAUUGAAAUUUUCUCCAUGCUCUGUUGAGUCAUUCGCAUUUUUUGCCAACUUUACCAGACACUGGCGAAGCUGUUGCUCAUCUGGCCUAAAUGUGGCCUGAGUGGGUGAUUCUCAGACAGAUGAGGG